UACGAAGGGGGCUAGCGUUGCUCGGAAUCACUGGGCGUAAAGGGUGCGUAGGCGGGUCUUUAAGUCAGGGGUGAAAUCCUGGAGCUCAACUCCAGAACUGCCUUUGAUACUGGCGAUCUUGAGUCCGGGAGAGGUGAGUGGAACUGCGAGUGUAGAGGUGAAAUUCGUAGAUAUUCGCAAGAACACCAGUGGCGAAGGCGGCUCACUGGCCCGGAACUGACGCUGAGACGCGAAAGCGUGGGGAGCAA
rnacentral:rRNA from 1 species